rnacentral:rRNA from 1 species
AACGAACGCUGGCGGCAUGCCUAACACAUGCAAGUCGAACGAGACCUUCGGGUCUAGUGGCGCACGGGUGCGUAACGCGUGGGAAUCUGCCCUUUGCUUCGGAAUAACAGUUAGAAAUGACUGCUAAUGCCGGAUGAUGUCUUCGGACCAAAGAUUUAUCGGCAAAGGAUGAGCCCGCGUAGGAUUAGGUAGUUGGUGGGUAAAGGCCUACCAAGCCGACGAUCCUUAGCUGGUCUGAGAGGAUGAUCAGCCACACUGGGACUGAGACACGGCCCAGACUCCUACGGGAGGCAGCAGUGGGGAAUAUUGGACAAUGGGCGCAAGCCUGAUCCAGCAAUGCCGCGCGAGUGAUGAAGGCC